GGUGCCCCAGGAGCCCUACCUUCCCUCUGCCCAUCGCCUCACUGGGUGGUCAAGGUCCCCUGGGGCCUGUUUCCCAUCAGCCAAAGGGAAACCCCAGCUGCUGCCACACCUCCUUGGGAACAUGGGGAGACUGAGCUGGGUAAACUGUGAAGUGCCAGGACAGGAAGGUGGUUGCACCCUGUGGGAGGCAGGGCUCCUCUCUGAGGUGGUGGCAGAGCAGCUGUGCUCCCGCUGGGCCAGCCACUACCGCGUUUCCCUCGGCCCUCGGCCCGCGGAGGCCAUGCUCAGCUGAUGCUGAAGGUGAGUCAGGCACGGUGGCGACGGGAGUGCAGGGAUGCACGCUCAUGAUAGAGGCCUAGGCAUUGAGUGAGCUGUGGUACUGGCUCAGUGCUUGACCAGGAGGAGACAUGCCCCUCGCAGCUCAUCAGCACCGGCUGCGGGGCGGCAGAAAGGAUUUAGUGAGACCCCAGCACGCGGCAGGGCGGGACUGCUGGCGGAGGGACGGGGUCAGCCCCUGACUCCUCCCAGCCUGAGCUGACCAAAAAUGCAGGCCUCGGCCGGGACCUGUUCCUGGGUGUAAGGGCCUGGCCUGGACAUUGGAGCCCCACCGUCUGCCAGGAGACCUCCCUGGUCCUGGGUCACCCUGCCCAUACCCUCAUCCCUCCUGCUGGCUCCCUGCCUGCCUGCCCAGGAGCUUCCUCCUCUGCCCCCCGAGAGCCACUCCGCCUCCCAGCUCCCACCACACUCGGUCCUGCAGGCCCUGACCCUGACCCUCUGGGCAGAGGUUGUGGCCCAUCUUCAGUUACCAGGAGAAAACAUUCAUGGGUGUUUGGCACGAAAAAUACCAUUGCUGGAUUUUCUGGCUCCUCCAAACAUUCAAGAGACCCUUGUUGAAGCUGGGCUGGAGUGACAUUGCCCUUCUUGUCCAGCCCUGCUACAGUGUCCCGUGGGGCUGGGAGUCUCUGCAGGCCAGGCCCACUUUGGAGCCACCUCUGACCCAGAGUCCAUCCCAAGGCCAGCAUGGAGGAGGCGGUGACACAUGCUUGUUGAGUGAAUAAAUGACUUGAAUUGGGGAAGGGAGUUUCUGAGAAGAUGAGGAACAGGGCAGGGCCAAAGCUGACUCUUAGGUUGUGAUUCUCCCCACACCCUUGCAAGAAGGGUGCAAUUUGACAUUUAUUUAUCUGAAAUAAAAUGACUCUUGAACAUGUGGUCAUAAAAAUUAAAGCAUUACCAGUAAAAUCCACCUUGAUCGGUCCCUUUGAAUCUUGCCUCCUGCUCCCAGUGUGCUAAGUAUUUUGUUUUGGUGUAUAUUUUGCCAGACUU